rnacentral:rRNA from 1 species
AUUGAACGCUGGCGGCAUGCUUUACACAUGCAAGUCGAACGGUAACAGGGUGCUUGCACCGCUGACGAGUGGCGAACGGGUGAGUAAUGCGUCGGAACGUGCCGAGUAGUGGGGGAUAACGCAGCGAAAGUUGUGCUAAUACCGCAUACGUACUGAGGUGGAAAGUGGGGGACCUUCGGGCCUCACGCUAUUCGAGCGGCCGACGUCUGAUUAGCUAGUAGGUGGGGUAAAGGCUCACCUAGGCGACGAUCAGUAGCGGGUCUGAGAGGAUGAUCCGCCACACUGGGACUGAGACACGGCCCAGACUCCUACGGGAGGCAGCAGUGGGGAAUUUUGGACAAUGGGCGAAAGCCUGAUCCAGCCAUGCCGCGUGUGUGAAGAAGGUCUUCGGAUUGUAAAGCACUUUAAGUUGGGAGGAAGGGCAGUAAGCUAAUACCUUGCUGUUUUGACGUUACCGACAGAAUAAGCACCGGCUAACUUCGUGCCAGCAGCCGCCGUAAGAC